rnacentral:rRNA from 1 species
UACGUAGGGUGCAAGCGUUGUCCGGAAUUAUUGGGCGUAAAGAGCUCGUAGGCGGUCUGUCGCGUCGGCUGUGAAAACCCGGAGCUCAACUCCGGGCCUGCAGUCGAUACGGGCAGACUGGAGUUCGGCAGGGGAGACUGGAAUUCCUGGUGUAGCGGUGAAAUGCGCAGAUAUCAGGAGGAACACCGGUGGAGAAGGCGGGUCUCUGGGCCGAUACUGACGCUGAGGAGCGAAAGCGUGGGGAGCGAACAGG